ensembl:miRNA
UUGGCCAAAAAAUUGAUUCGGAUUUUUCCAUAAGAUGUUAUGGAAAAACCUGAACGAACUUUUUGGCCAA